UCCCUGGUGGUCCAGUGGCCGAGACUCUGCACUCCCAAUGCAGUGGGUCCAGGUUCAAACCCUGGUUAGGGAA
rnacentral:tRNA from 1 species